UUAUGUGAAAAAAGGUCAGAAGUUUGCCUGCUUGCUCAAACCAGCCAAAUCUGGUUUUAAUCUAUGAAAACACACCAAAACACCCUUCUUGAAGAAAAAGAGAUGACGGAGUCAAAAUUACUGCUUUGCUUCUGCUGUAUGUAUCUUGGAGCUGGAUUUUUCGAUGAAGUCUGUGGAAGCUUGUUACCAUGUUAAAUGCCCAGCUUUCAUUAAAUCCACACCUGAAGGUCAUGUGAAUCUUCAGCCCACCCAGCUUGACUGAGCAUUUCUGUCUGGAAGCAUAUUGGGAGCAGCUUUCUUCUGAGAUACCUGGUAGUUGCUGCUUUUGCUUCAGGAACCUAGAAAUUCAAGGGUCUUCUUUACUUCAAAGUUAUGAAGUUUAUUCAUAUGUGAAAGGUGCGAUAAGGAUGCCUUUCUCCACUGAAGGAAGCUGACUGGCCACAGCAAACCCCUGUUCAGAAUCCAGGAGGAAUCCUUCACCACCAGCCCAAGGUGAAACUCGGCAACAGCUGCUGAAAUGCCUUGAUCACACGCUCCCAGCACCCUGCCCUGCCAGCAGCAAGAGGAAACUCCAGUUUAUGUUAAUAAGCAAGCCAAAGAUCUGCUGAGAAAUGGGCCGAGCCACUGCUGACCUUUGCAAAUCCAAUUUCUUCAAAGCAAGAGCUAAUCGACGUGUUCCCACGCUGUGUAUUGCUGAAAGUUACGAUGCAAUUCAAGGAAUGAAUUCACCAUGGUGCAAUCUCAUUUUGAAUCCAGUUUUCUUUCUAUGUGUCAGAGGGUGAAGGAGGCAGAGUGCGGUACAAGUUAUACAGAGCAAUCACACACAAGUUUCACAAAUCAUGUGCCUGGAGACUGGCCCCCUCCCUGUUUUCCAGAAGGAGCUGCUGUUUGUUUCCUGUGCUACUGGCCAAGCCCUGCCUGAGCCCAGCCUUGGGCAGCACAAUAGACCCAGCGGGAGCAGCAGCAAUGCACCGCAACCUGCUGAUGUGCCCCAAGUGGGCAUGUUUGCAUAAUGCUGCAACUUUUUGUCUGGGGCAAAAGGGACAGAAGAGGACUCUCAUUCCUCAUUUAACUACUGUGGGGCAUAUGUCAUGGGUAACACAUCUCAAGUGCUUUCAUCAGCAUCAAAGAGAGCAGUUAUGUCAUUCCUAGCAUAGGGUUGUGCUUGGUGUGCCUCUCUAGGGAUGACACCUCUCCAUCUCGGAAGCCCUGGCAUGGCAAGUAGCAGUCAAGCUACUCCACACUUGGUGCCUUAUCACAGACCUCUCAGCCUAUCAUGCAUCUGGCCAGUUUGGUCAUACAGUAGAACUAGAGAUAUCACAACUUACUUAUUUUGUUCGUUACCAUCUUCAUUGCACAAGCACGAUUCCAUUAGGGUUGAUGUAACGGAUAAUCAACUCCUUGGGCUAAUGAGCUAAGCUCUGCCCUGGCUGUAAACUAAUGGCUUCCAGAGGAAGCCUCAAUGCUCUAAUUUUGUAGUUUGCCUUAGCAAAGCAAAUGAAAAUAUAUCAUUGUUCUCAAAAUUGCUGAAUGAAGCAUGUCCUUUUUUAAAUUUGAUUUCCAUAGCCAUGAAUAGCAAAUUUCCUCUAUUCAUAACUGGUUUAUAAAAGAGUUUGCUAACUAACCAGAUCUGAAGAACUUUCUUUCUCAGCAAGUAUUGCAAUAAGAGAAUUGCUUGUGUUUUUAUUACUUUUUCAAUAUUUUUGUUAUUCUCGUUCCCAAGAAACGAUUAAAUUUUCCAAUCUUCUGGACAUCAAAGAUUUUGGAGAAGAGAUUGUAUGAACUGGAUAGGUAACAGCUGUUACCAGAUGGAUUUACUGGUGGAAAGGGGAGAGGGCUAAUUUGUUUUAUGUGUUUCCUCCCACUGCUGGCACCUUUCACUGUGGCACACUGUUCCUGUCCUGUGACAGGGAGUGUCUUUGCACAGAGGGAGCUGUUGUCCACAGGAUUACACUUAACUUUGGGUUUUGCUGUUGUUUGUAAGAGACUUUUCCAACUGCCUUCAUCAUAGCUCUUUAAUCUGGUCUUCCAGUAGUUUAUUAGAGAGAAAAGAAUGGGGGAGCAGCUCUAACUUUGUUAGAUAAUAACACUGAUUGACAGAUUUUCACUUCUGACCUUUUCAAGCCAGAGUUUUGUUUGCCCUGCUUCUGGAUAUCUGAUGACACUUUAAGUUGGAUUUAUUUCUGUAAAAAAAAUAAUUGAAUUCUUCAAGAAAGUUCACAGUACUAAAGGAGAGUUUCAGCUUGAAUGAACUGUAUCAUCUCUGCUGCACCCUUCCUUUUAACAUGGGAGUGAACAUUUGCAUGAAUCUUCUUUAUUUCCUCAUCUAGUGUAAAAUUCCUUAUGGUCUUCUUUUAGAUUACUCACUGUUUAGGAAAGGUCUUGGAGGGGAAAUGGUGAUUUGUAAUAUUGCAAAGUACUAACUGGUGAAACAGAUUGUGUGCAUGUAUAACAUGAUUUUUGUGUAUUGUUAUGCAAGCAAUAUCUGAUUCCAUUGAGAUAACAGUAAAGCAUCCUACAGCUUUGACCAGAUUCAAAGAAACUCAUACUGCUUGUUCUUUUCUUUCUAAUUUUAGGGUUUCAUCUAUGCUAAAUGCAUAAUGUCAAAUGCUUUGACAUUUCAGUGUUGUGUUUUUAAGUCCCUACCCUCAUGUUCUUUAAGCUUCAGCAAAAGAGAGCACUUUCAGUAUACAUUGUCUGUAAAAAUGUCUCAUGUCCUACAAAUAUUCUAAUACAUCCAAUCUAUUCUAAAAAUUCAAGAGGGACUGGUAUCCUCUCAAUCUAGUCACCUUCUUCCUGAGGUAGCUUAGAUUAAUACUUUUGAUCCUUUCCUGCUCUGAGCAACUUCAGAAUCCAUUGCUAUUGCAGGAGAGGAGACUCUGGCUUUACCCAGUCUGUGAGGAUCCUUGAAUCAUAGCAAAAAAUGCUCAGAUUUUCACAGAGUUUAACCAUCUUCUGCAAGCUGACCGGGGGGACCAUCAUUGGAGCAGAUAAUCUGGAUCAAUGGCUGCUGGGCUGCUGUCCGGAGAAUGAAUCCUGGCUGAAGAAGGACAGAACAGAAGCCAUAUCCAGAAAAUCAUCUCUAAUGUAUUUUUUUUUCUUUAUGCUUUAGGUCUCAAUUACCACUUUCUUCCAUCUCCUUCAUUAGUGCCCUGACUACUCCUUCAUACAGUUAAAGCAAAUGACCCCGAAAAGUGAGGACAUCCAUUUGAAAGAGCAACUGAGUUUUGUGCAAAGCCCAGAGUAUUUUUUUCUGCACAAUCAGGGGAGUAAUGACAACAGGUCUGCCAGUUUCAAGGUAAAGUUUUCCAUCUUCAGGGAACGUUUAGACUGCAAUAAGGAUCAAACUAAAACACCAAAGGCAAAAAUGCAGAGGAGGCUCAAGACUAGCUGGGCAGUUUGCUGCAGGAACAGGGAAGUAAGUUCCUUGAUUUUUCUUUGAAGAAAACAAGUUUGCUGUGUACAGCUCAUACAAAUAGGGAGAGAAAGAGGUGUCUGACUAAUAGUGAAAGAUACAGUGAAAUCUAAAUUGCAGUCCUUGUUAUACAUACGGCCCUUUCCAUAUGCCAAGUUAGGAUCCAUGCAGGUGAAUGAAUGUUACCCUGGUAUGUCUGGGUCCCCAGGUUGGGUGCUAGCACGUGUAGAAUUAAGCACACUUAGUGCUUGUACACUGGCAAAGACUGGUGUAAAGAUGUGUUAAACAGGACAGUCUCUUGCAUCCAGAAGAGGGGAUCUUGUCAGCAAGCCUAAGAAUCAGCAGGAGCUUGUGUAAGUGGUCAUACCAAAUGGUUGUCAAGCCAUGAAAGCAACAGGUAAUUCAGUGCAGACUUGUAGAGAUAGUGUAUAUCAAGAUAAAGAUAUCCUUCAUAGAAUCAUCGAAUCACAGAAUCGUUUGAGGUGAAAGGGACUUUAAAGAUCAUCUAGUUCCAACCCCCUCUGCCGUGGGAAGGGACACCUUCCACUAGACCAGGUUGCUCAAAGCCCCAUCCAACCUGGCCUUGAACACUGCCAGGACCAGGGCAUGCAGUAAUUUUUUUUUUGCUUCGCUCCACAGGCUGUUUGCACAUGAGCAAAAGGACUGGGUUCAGCACUCUGUUGAUAGGCGCUGUUAUCAUUAUUUUUACUUGUUACUUAUCAUGUAUUUCAGGCUCUGCAGUGACAGUGAUAGUGAUUAAAUAAAAACUGAAAAAUCACUAGCUUGACUAAGUAUUUGCCAUAAAGGAGCAUUUAUUUAAAAUGUCAUAGCAAUGCUCUGAAGUGGUACAGAAACUGUGAAGUUUAAUGUAUAUAGCAAAUGGGAUUAAAGUUCUAUGGCUCAAGACCCCCACUACAAACCCACGACAAUAUUUUUCUUCUAACCUAGUUGCAUCUUCAUAAAAUCUGUUAAACUGCAGCUUGCAGAGGAAGUGUAAAUCACAGGGCAGAUUGAAGUACAGUAACUCUGAAAGGACAAAUUGAUUUAACCAGAGAUGUAGUACUUACAGGAAAAAGAAUUGAGAUUACUGAAGGUUCAGUGCACAGAAGCAGCAUUUAGUAUGAUGGAAAAGUGUAUACCACGAAUUAAUUCUGUCAGUUUUGUGCUGGCCUGUUUCUCAUUUUACAUGGCAAAUUGUUUGAUCCAUGUUAUAAUGUAGGUACUUUUACAACCCAGGGAAAUUUGCUGCCCCAAUCUAAAGAUAAAUAAUUUAAUCAUAGGUAUUUCACUAGGCAUCUUUCAAACUAAUUUAAUUAGGUUUCAUUGUUUACAGCCUGUGUCUGUCGGUACUGCAUCCAGAGUUAAUUUAGGAGAACAACCUGCUUGUCAACUGUGGUUUGAAAAAAAAAUCGAAAAUUGGUUAUUUGUUAUUAUUUAUAACUCCAAAGAAUUCCAGUUUGAAUAUCUGUGUUUCCUCUUUCUCUUAAGGAAUUUCUUCUUUUUAUGAAUUUCUGUCUGUAAUCUUGCCAUUCCUGUGCCUGUAAAUACAUAUAUUCUCCUGUAGUUUAGGAAGGAAUUAUAGCAUUACAGUGUUUUUGGACAGAUUUUGAGCUCUGCUAUAUUCCUAUAACAUCUCAGAAUUUCCAGGGGCCUCAGAAGGGUUGUUCCAGAUUUAUAGUUGUAUAAACAUCAGCAGAAUUCUAUUCCUUUACAUUUGCAUUCGAAGCUAAUGCAUUAGUCAUCUAGGUCCCCAAACAGGUUAAUUAUCUAGUCCGGUUCUUCAGUGCUGUUUUUUAACUGUUGCACUCAUAACUUUUAUGAAUUUCAUAUAACAUUAGAUAACAAUAAAAAGCUUAAAGAUAAACUAAACUCUUAAGGAUGGAAACUACUGAUAUUUUUUACUAAUUUCUAGAUCUUCUGUAUUAUUGGUACUCUUUGGGAAAGUUCUGAUUUACAAAAUAUGAUCUCACAGUGUGUUUUAUCUUAUUGGCUUCUUGCCAUAUUGCCAGAAUGCCGUGUAUUCAGAGAGAGGCAACCAAAAUGCACGCUUCAGCAUGCAGAGAAAGGGUGCAAAGCUGGUUUUCAUUUUCUAGAAACAGAUCCUAGUUACAGUCUUCCUCCAACUGAAUGGCUUUCUAUUGUUGGUUUUGUGCUUUUGAUUGGGUUCUUUGGUUUUAUGUUUUUGAGAUGUGUAUCAUAUAUUGACAGGAGAAGUCCAAGUUUCAGAAGUUUUCUUAGAGUGAAUUUAAUGCUUCUGAAAGUGUUACUGGAAACCAUAAUUUUCUGCCUGCUCACAAAUUCAGUACUUACUUAUAGCUCUAUCUGCACCAGUCAGGAAAGAUCCCUUACAAAAUGCUACAUAUUUUUCCACCCUUUCUUAGAAGGUACUACUCUAGAAAAGAUAGCCUGUUUUGUAUUAUGCUGAGUUUCAAAAACUGUCAAAAAAAUUCUAUUUUAGAAAAUGCAUCUUAGAAAUAGUAUCUUGAAGAAGAUAUCAACUUAAGAAAUAAUAUCUUGUUGCUAACCUCUAUGAAGAGUUUUUUGGUUUUCAAGCAUCUACGUAGUUCAUACUGUAGCUAUACUGUUCAUUCCCCUCCCACUAGUAAUUUAAUACCGGUAUUUCCCAUAGAACUAUUCAGCAGUGUUCAAAAUGUCAUUAGCAGAAGGGAAAAAAGAAAGAAAAAGAAAGAUUCUGAUCAGAAAUGAGAACUGCCUCAGAAAAAGCCUGGUUCAAAUAUGCACUGAACAGAAGUUAAGUUGUCAGUUUCAUUUGUGGGCAGUUCAUGUGAGAGUACUUAAAAUGGUCUGGGAAAAGCUGUGCAAAACAGCUCCUCAGUGACGUCUUUUCUUAUCUUGAGCACUAAUAUUUUUUUCUCCUUGCCUUCUUUUCAUCUUUAUUCAUCUAACUGUAUAUAUGAAAUUAAUUACUAGUAAUAGAUGGAUACAGAUACAAUAAUUUUGCUUUCCUCCCCAUGCCUCGUCCUUUGUAUUUUUUCUCUCCCUCCAUUGGCUUAUUUGAGUAAUAUUUUAUCUCUUUUGAAGCAAUGCAAAUAUCUUUGUUCUUAUUUGCAUUUAGGUCCCAGUGAUAAAAUUCUGGUAAGAUUCAAGACAGAAUUUUCAUUUCCAAGAACUAGACAGAUUUCUGAAACUGACUGUGGAAUACUCAGUUUAAUUUCUUGAGUGAUAAGAUAGCACUUGGUGAAAUAGCAAGGAGCAUUUAACAACUCUGCAGAAAGGAUUAUUUUACUGAGAGUGUUCAACACAGAGAAAACCAGGAAGUUUAGAAAUUGUGCAGAAAGUCAUGCUCUCACAAGAUUUGGUCACUGUCUAGGUCAAGAGUUAGAUGAUGUUUAGACAAAGUUCAUGUCCUGAUGCUUUGCCACCCAUAGGUGAAGAACUUGAUAUGAAUUUGAGCAUCUGAUUAUGCAGCUGGUACACAAUUUAUUUGUUGUUAGCCUUUUUAUUUAUUAUAUGUUAAAAAUCUUCAUCUUUUUCAACCUGAAUGGUGUUUCUCUGGCAGCACUUUUUACGUGGCUUUAUAGCUGUGCCCAACAACUAGUUUUGUUCUUGCUUCUGUAACAUUUUCUACAAUUUCAGCCAAGGUAUUGACAUAUGUGAAGAAUUGUGCAUUUGUUGAGCUCCAGGGCUAUUUACAUUUUGUAGGCUUUAGUCAAUAACCAUCAACUACUAAGAUAAAGUAUGAGAAGUGAUAUUCACUGGAAGAAGCACAGAGUACUACAAGUGCAUUGGAAGAUGAAAAGAUGGUAUACAGAAAUACUAUGCCAUUGGGAAGUUUAGUAACGUCAAUUUUGGAGUUCUUUCACAAGUUUGCAUGGGAAGUGGAUUACUGGAUAUAACAGGUUCAAUUCUGUCUUACCUCAGGAGUGAUUCUCCUGAACACAGCUGACUGCACAGUCUACCUCUCUUUUAAUCUGAGUACAGGGAUGGAGUUUUUUAUGCAUUUUAGACCACACCACCAAAGUAGUAUCUGGACCUAUGUGAAUCUUAGCAGAAAGAGGCUGAAUGUGGCAACUUAAUUUUUAUCCAUCAAUCUCACUUUCGUUUAUAAAAUCAUUUGAAAAAAGCAUAUCAUAUUAGGUCUUCUCAGUUUUGAUAGUCAUAGUUAACCUCCUAAACAGCUUGCCUUUAAUGAUAUUUUCUCAGUUAGAAUGUAAUUCAUGAGCUGUCUUGCUGACUGAGGAAGCUUCAGAUAUUUUUUCUUUCAAAACAGAUACUUACCCUUAUCUCCCCAGCAGAACAAAGCCAUUGAUGAAUAAUCACUCUUAUAGUUUUUCUGAAAUAUCAAAGUUGUCUCCCCUCAGGGUAGAGAAUUCCAUACUGUCCAAGGGGAAAGCAGGCCGUGUGAAUAUCCUUGCUGAAUUCCUAAUUGUUUGCUCUGGCACUUUCCAGUGAAGCAGCUGGUUGUCUUUGGAAAGCUAUGCUUGUUGUUUUGGGUUUGAACAUCAUAUGUCUUUAAUUUUCAGCACUAGCCACAGGGAUAAGUACCACAAAUAUCUGCUUGAAGGCCUUUUGCCCUUGGGAACCCAAUAUAUACUUGGCAGCUUCUCUGACGGUGGGACUGAGAGGAUAAUCAAAGUUGACUCAUUGCCUUAUAUCCCCUCAGGGAAAAAAAAAGAAUAAAAAGGGCAAUUGCUUCUUCCUUCAGUUGCCUGAAGCAAGUCUUUCCAGUUUUGUAGAGAAAAAACUAAUGUAAUUUCUAAAACAAUCUUCCCUCUGUAUGAAAAAAUUAUUCCAUCCUGUAUCAUACAGCCGAUUCUGGGGCUGGAUUUCCUUGCAUCAAAUUAUGGUCCUGGGUGGACUUCAGAAAUCCAUAGCCACACACAUAACCAGAAAUGAACAUUCAUAUCUUCCAUUCAUUACUUACUUCCAACAGAAUCUACUGUCAUUUUCUUCAACUCAGCAUACAGUAAACUGUAAUGAAAAUGAGUUUGUAUGGUGCUGUUUAAGCUUGCAGGAGGAGAGAACAUGGAGUGUGCUUUAUUUAUUGUGUCCAAGCUGUUUACAGACUCUGAUCUUCUAUUGCACAAUUAGGACCAACAUAAAUAGGCAUCUCACUAUGACUUUUAGUGAAGAUAUGUUCAUUAUUCUGCCCAUGGGUAUAACUUCCCAAAUAUUCCUCAUUUUAUAUGCCACACUGAAGUGAAACAGUCAUUAGUGUGCUGGUAACAUCAUAACACAAAGAGGAAGUCUGAGCCCCAAUGUAUGCAUUAGCUAAAGAUUAAGCAGGGUGCCAGAUGAGCUUUGAUUCAUUUUAGAAAUGUUGCUAGGCAGAGCUCCAAGCUCACACCAAAUGAUGCCAAGAUAUUUGCUCAUGUCUCCUUCACCCCUUAUCUCAAAUGGUGCAACUGCCAGAAAUAAUUUUCCUUAAUAAAAACUUCAUGCAUUUUGUA